UUCGUUAAUAUUUGUCAACAUUUCAAAGCUGCCCGGGAAUAUUUUACCGUCAGCGUAAAAUUAUAGAGUAAUUUCAAAAUAAUUCCCUUAUUUUAAUCUCACACUGGCGGAGACCCUUGUGAAGAAACAGUGAUCGUCGGCCAUGUUUGAAAGCUCAAAGAGUAAUCCCAAUAAACUCGAAAUUAGGGAUUUGCAUAGAGGAAGAUGAAGCACACGAUUUCUUCGAUGGCCAGAUAGGUGGUCGUAGAGCCGCCGUUACACGACGGUAAAUCCUUUGACAAAACAUAUAAACAGAGCCUUAGGCUAUCCUGUUUGGUUUUUGGGAAAGUGUGAGGAAAGUUAAAAAAAUAAAUAAAUAAAUAAAUAAUAAUAAUAAUAAUAAUAAAUGGAAAUAAAAAGAAAAAGAGGGAAAAAGGUUGAUCUUUCAUUGUUAUCUAUGUUUGUUUCCAUGGCCUUGUUAAAAAGGUGCUUUGUAGCUCCAUCGGCUUCUGGUGGUGCGCCUGCGUUUUUGAGUUCGGGUCCUGUUAUGAGGGGCCAGUACGGUGAUUUUGGUGCGGUGACGCUUGACUAAUGUAAGCACGAUAUGUCGCAGAAACAAAUCCAACUCCAGCCCUGAGAUCUUUUUUUAUAUAAGCUUCUCUUAGAGCAGGCUACUACAACUGGUUGCUCAGUUUGGUUGGAGUUUAAGAAUAGGAAGGAUAGGAUAAAGCAGGAAUGGGAUCUGGCACUUGUUCAUGUGCUCACUGUUGCAGCAUGCAAUGCUAUUAUUGUUUUGUUGCUUGCUCCUUGUCGUUCAUCUGGGAACAUGUUCCGGUUUGAUUUGCAAAAUACAUUGCAGAAGCUCCCAAACAACAUAUUUCAAAGAAGCUAUCCGCUGAGGGAAUUGGAUCUACAAAAGAGAAUACACUCUUUCUUCUAUAAGGCUGCCGAGUUGUGUAUGGCUGGGUUAAAUGCUGGAGCAGUGCAAGGUUCUUUAUCAAAUUAUCUAGCCAGUAAGAAGGAGGGAAGGUAUGAAGCAAAAGAAAACCUACUUAAACUGUUUCUUUUGUAAAACUAAAUAGUACUGAUUAGAGUUCAACAAUAAGAAUGAAGAAACCGUUGUGACUUCUCUGAAAGUUUAAAUAUCAAAGAAUUUACCCUGCAAGCUUGAGAAGCAUUGGUUUAUGAACUAAAGAAAAAAAUUAUUGAAGAACUAUUCUAUGAUGGAUGAAAAAGGAAUUAGUUUUUGGUUGUGCUGUAAGUAUAAUUUUUAUAUGUUAUGUUUACAUAUUUCAAAUAUAACAUUCUUUGGGGAAUGUCAUGAAUUUGGAAUAGAUUUAUGGGUUUAAGAAGAGUUGUUAUUUGAAAAAAAACAUGUUGCCCUUGAUUGUUGUUUUCGGUGAAAUAUUCGGCUUAGUUACCAUAAUAAAUUAAAUUGGCCAAACAAAUUUGUUCUCUGCAGUUGUUAACUUGUUUGACGGGUUAGCUGUGUCAAUACCAAGUACAAGCACUAAUGCACUUGGUUAUGGUGGCUUUCCUAGGACUUUAUGCUAACAUGAGAUAUCAGCUCUUGGGUGGGGAUAUGACAGGGCAAUGUUCAACCACGUUGAUGUCAUUAGAGGGGGGCUGUUUUUCAGCAUAGCAUUGAAGUUUUUCUCUAUGAAACACGUAUUGGCUGCUUAUAUUUGCUACUUAUGUGAGACAUUUAAAUUGGUUUCCCCUUAUUUUUUGGUGUGACUUUGCUAGGGGCUUUUAUUUAUUUAUUUAUUUUUUCCACCUUCGUGAUCUUUACUGUUUGGUCUUCUAAAGAUAUGUUAUUCUUAUGGUUUCAUCUGAAUGAUUAUCCGUUAGUUGUCUUAAUUUUUCCUUGUCUCAUAUUGAGUAUCUUCACUAUCAAUAUGCUUACCAGUGGGAUUUUUCUUUUUCUUUCUCUUUUUUCUUUUUUUAAUAAAUUUGAAAAGUGGGUGGGAUAGUUAUGAUUUUACCUGAGGGAACCCAUUCAAUUUCUAAAAAGGAUUACUAAUCCUUAACUUUUCGAGGAAUCCUUCAUCAGUGGUCAGUGCGCUACUGGAUUGAUCUAGUUUCCAGAGCUAGCACUAUUGGAAUAUCAGCAGGGGUCCUCCAAACACAAAGCGCAGAAUAGACAACCAUCAACCCAGUUUGAAUGGGGAACACAAUAGGCCUCCUGUCUAGUGUGAACUUGCUGUUAUAUUAGCCGAGCUGCAAUCAAGAAUACUUGCCAAGAAGUUUGAUGAAAUAAUAGAACUUCUAUAACUAGAGCUUUUAAGGUAUUGAUAUUUAAAGAGAAUUGACCUGUACAAGGUGCAUGGUACUCUGAAGGGAAAGACUGAUUCAUGGAUCCUUGCUCACAAUGGGGGUGAUGUCAAUAUCAUGAAGGCUGGACCUCAAGCAAACAAGAGUCUAUUACUAACCUCUUUAAUGAAGAUGCAAAUGAAGAUGCUUGACUUUCAAGUUAGAACUUCUAAGAUUAGGUGCAGUCUUUGCAUUGACAUUUUUGCGAGUUGCUGUCACCGCAGGUGCUUCAAGAAUGUGUAUAACAGGGCAGAGUGGAAGAGGGAACGGAAGUAAAUUCACUUGAAAUUUUGGGAUAUAUAUAUAUAUAUAUAUAGCGAGGAGGGCAAAUAUUCAUUUUAGAGCCACCAAUAGCCUUUGAAUCGAAUAGAGUAUCUUCCUUUUCGUCUUGCCCACUUGCAUCCUGUUGUAUUUCCUACAUGUUUUGGGAUUAUAUAUACGGUCCAUUGUUGUUGAAUAUUUGAUAAGUUCAUUCUUUCAAUUCUGAUACUUCCUUGUGUCACGUCCCGCGAAAAAGGACUUCCCGAUAGCGAAGCAAGUUGGGAACCUGCUAUCGCGCUUUGGCAAUUUGAAGAUCAUAUCAAGAGGUUCCAUGAAGCAAGCUCGACGAGGACGUCGACGGCAUAGGUGGGGGAGAAUGUCACGGUUGAAGCAUUUCAUCAAACACUUGGUGAGCAUUCUCUCCAUUUUGGGCCUUACAAUCCAUUUUGGGCCUUAUAAUCCACUUUGGGCCUAUUUUGGGCCUUACAAUGGGCCAAGCACCUAGAAUGGUGUAGAAUUCUCUAGAACCUUGUGGAGAACUCUAGGUCAAGCCAUGUACAUAUCCAUUCUAGAUGCUUCUUUAGAUAUUUUAUGUAAAGUAGGUGGGAAAGUAGGUGGGAACCAUUCUCCACCGUAGGAUUAAAGCAAUUAUAGCCGUAGGAUUAAGCUUUGUAUGCCUAUAAAUAGGUGGAGGCCUCAUUUGGCCAAACCAUCCAAGGAUCCAAGAAUCCAAGCUUUUCUUGUAAAGCUCUCUCUUAAGCAAUAUACUUUCAUUCUUCCAAA